rnacentral:lncRNA from 1 species
GCAUUUUCUUUAUUAUGGUUGAUUAAUAAAGUCCCUGGAAUAGAUAGUCCAUUUAAUGUAUUAAGUAUGACUUAAUCAUGAGAACACAUUAAACAUAAGGACACUAUUCCUAAAGUAUCCGUAGUCGAGCUUUAGUGUGAAGUAGGAUAACAUUAAAGCAUUAAGACUAUUAUGUUUGUAGACUGAUGAUCGCAUCUCAUGGAUCAUGGAUAAAGAGUUAUCAAGUCUUAAACAUAGGUAUGAAUAUUAGGAGUAAUAUUUAUACCGGAUUGACCCGCUAUGAGAAUACUAUAUAGAAAGUUAUGCAAAGUGUCAUAAGUUAUUCUCAUGGUGAUAAUAGUGUAUACCACUCUUCGACCUGAAACCACUAUGGAUCCUAGAUGUAGAGUCGAGUGCUUUAUUGCUGAUCCAACGUUGUCCGUAACUGGAUAACCAUAAAGACAGUUGAUGGGUACUCCACGAAGCAUGCUGAGGGACAUGAGUGACCUAGAUGGAAUUUGCCCAUCCUGCAUAACAGGAUAAAUGUCUA